ACCUGCUUUGGAACUAUCUGUUACACACCUUUCAGAUUUUGAGUCAGCUGCUUAGAGGAUCGUGUGGUUGCUGAAUAUUAAGAGUCACAAAUCACUUAAAGCCCAUUUAGGGUCGUGGGAGGCUGGAAACUAACACAGCUGUCAUAGAGCGAGAGGUGCGGUGCACCCUGGACAGGGUCACAUGGUCACAGAGACACACAGUCAUGCUCAUAUUUGCAGGCCUAAGCCCUCCAUAACUGUGGCAGGAAACCAGAGUACCAGGAGAGGACACACACAAACAUGGGAAGGAGCUUCUUGUGGUUCUAUCCACCCCACUAAUGUUUAAUCCUAUGUUUAUAUUAGUAUUUAUUCUUUUUUUAUGGUAGAAUAAAAAUGACAUGUAGAGGCAUGAAGCCAAACCACUGGUUUAAAGGGGAGAAGUGGGGAAAGGUGGGUCAUAAGACACUUUAUUUUGUGCAUUUUGGCAAGUGUAUAUACAUAAUAUGUGUCUGUUAUAUACCAGUUAAAAUGCCCAUAUCAAGAUUAACACAACAAUCAGGUCUCUAAAGUAUUUAACCUUGUUAUCCUGAGUCAACACACACUCUUUAGGCCUUGUCGCAUGUUCUCUUUUUUCUAAGAUAAAGAGCGCUCCGGUCCAGUUCAAGUUAAACAGAUUUAUUGCCUCAAGCAGUUCAAAGAAUAAUUCAUGUACACAGAUCUCCUUCCGGUUAGAAAACCACAGUCUGCAGCAGGUUUCUGUAGCCAACUCCCAGAAAAGAGAACUUAGCCAUACACAUAUUUAUAAAAGAGAAUGUGCAUCUAUAUGAUUGGUCAAAAACUGUUGAGAAGUUUAGACUUUUAACCCCACUUAUUGGCAGACAGGUUGUGCUCUUCUCCUCCUCAGUUUCAGCUUCACCUAGUGAUGGACCUGUUACAUAGUUUCAUGCGUCUGAGGCAUCAUCUGUCUGUGAGGCCUAUUGUUUCUUGACCUUGCUCUGGUUCACUCCUGUAUUCUUGCACACAGCCUUCCACCAAGUCUGCACAAAGAACCCUGCAUCUUGGGAAUCUGUAAAUUUUCUACUUAAUUUAUUUUGAGUGCUCAGUAGAGCAAUUAACUAUUAAAGUGAUCUAAAAUUAAUUACAGUGGCCAUACCAUUUGCCAGCACAGGUCUUGUAAACCAAUGAUGAUGGUUUAAGACAUAAGAAUCAGAGCUGACAACUGGGAACGGACUAACAUCAGGCUACUUUGUUGUCUUUUGUUUGGCGGAGUAAACUGCAUAAAUUUCACUUACAGCACUUUACACUACAUGUCUCAUUCACCCAUUCACCCAUACACUUUUUUCUAUGUUUAAGUGCUUUCUGUCUAACAUUUUCGCACAUUCAUAUUUCACCGAAUGCAUCAGAGAGCAACUUGGGAUUCAGUAUUUUGCCCAAGGAUACUUAGGAAUGCAGACUGGAGACUAGAGCAGCCAGGGAACCUUCCUAUUACUACCUCCUGAGCUACAAAUGGAGUACUGGGCUGGACUCCCCUUUGCCUUCAGCACUGCCUUAAUUCUUCAUUGCACAGACUCAACAAGGCCACUAUCUCUAUAUACCUAAAUGCAAUGAGUGAUGUGAUUGGCUGAUUAGAUAAGUCACACAAAGGAGCAGUUGGAACAGUGUCAGAUGAGCGUAUCAGUAUUUUAGGAUGCUUAGGAUUUUAGGACUUAAUCACAACUUGUUUUCCACACUUUUGGAGAAAAAUCAUUUAUAACAUUGCACCGUCUCCUCCUUUUUCCUUCUGGCUCCCUCUCGGUUAUUAACAUGGCGCACGGUGCCAGAGGAGAUGCUGUGCAGCAGCAGCAGCAGACUGACAGUCACACAAAGUUUGUCAGUCUCAAAGAAGACCCACUUUAGUAAACACUUACUGUGAAGUUCAACAGAGUUGGAAUGACCCAUUUUAUUGGUGGGCAGGUGAGAUACAUGUGUGUAAAUAUGAACAAAGGAAGUUCAUGGUUGACGUCUGUACAUUACAUUCUAACAAAGAAAGUGAUGGUCUCGCAGUCAAUUCAAAGCACGCUUCAGGUAAUUUGACUGUGACAGGCUCUGAGUGAGAUCAUAUUACUCGUUCAUCUGUGUAAAGACGGUUCAUAGAAAAUAUAAAGCAACUCAUGACUAAAGUUUAAUCGGUUAACACUUUAAAUCACACCUCUAUCUAUGUCUACUGAAUUUUAAUACAGCCAUACAAUACAAGUAUACAAGGUUAUUCUGUGGUUAGAGAAAAAUACAACCGAAGAAGGUGUGAAAAUGCAAAGAUACAGCUGUUUUGCUUUUUAAACUUCGUAUACAUGUGAAACAGGUCAAACAAGUCUUGAGGCCUCUUUUGUAUCAUAGGUACGAUCUCUUAAUGCAGGAGAGAAACAAAACAAAACACAAUUAUACUAAACACAGCCUGAGUCAAGUGUACAAUAUGCACACUUGAAGGAAAUAAAA